GCUAUUGAAAACGACUGGCGAGCACAGAUUUGAUGAAUUUUCUUCUGAUAAUAACGGUCAGGGGAGCACCAUGGUUCUCUUUGACCCAAUGUCACUCCCUCGGAUGUGGUGAGAAUGGGUCAAUUUUCAUACAUUUAUAAAUAUCAAAUUUCAAAAAGUUGUUUAAGAAAUAUACAAAGAAAUUACCCAUGAACGUAUUCCCAUACUGGAAAAAAUAUUGCAAAUCAAUUUAAGAGAGUUAUUCUACAAUCAAUUUGGACAUAUGCACUUUGGUCCAUUUUCAAUUAUUAUGGAAAUGAUCUCGUAUGAAAUAUGAAAAAAAGUUUUCUGGGGAAAGGGGCACCCACAUUCGUAAAUCCGGCGCUGCGCCCUGUACUAUUCGAAGCUGUCACGCCUUCGAGUCUCUAAUACCUGAUCUUUUCUAGAGCACUUUGCAUUCACCUAUGUAUGAUUACUGUUUUUCUACGCCACAAGCCCACCACAUGCAGUGACAAUCGACACAAGCCGAGAAGACGACGACGACGACCAUCAUUUAUGACGGAAGGAAGCCCACCUUUUUUUCGGUUUUGAUUUUUUCAACUCUGCGUCGUAUCGUCUCGAUAAAGCACACAUCACACCGAGAGCGGCGCGCCGCCGUGCGCUUCCUCUUUUGCGGUGUGUGUGGUUUGUGAGCUGAGCAACAAUCGAAUCGAAGAAGGCUACAAUUUUAGUCCACCUUCGUCGUCGUCGUCGUCGCAACGGCUCUGGAACAAAGCAACAAACGAACGACAAUAACCUCGUCCCGUCGCGUCGCGUUGUCUCCUCUCAUCAUCGGACGAUCCUCGGAGACGACGGCGACGACGACGACGGUUGCUAAGUUAGUACCGCUUGCGCGCGCGCUCAAAGCCUACUCCGUUCCAUCGCAACAUCAGCGGGCGCCAAGAAGGAAGGCGGAAGGAAGGUGCGCAAGGAGGGACGACGAGCAUCAGUUGCUCGACUGGAUCUUUGUAAGACCUGCCAGCCAGUCCAGGGCCGAUAGUCAGCAAUGGAGAAGAGCAAGAGUAGGUACCGAAAACGCACCAAGCGGAACGGGCGAAACGAACGAGACUGACGGAGAACUCGACUUUGCCUACUGUUGCACCGCCACCGCGCGCCUACUACGACAGACUGACUGGCUGAAUUGCGCGAGCGGCGGAGAGCCCGCUAAAAUGGCGCUGUCCCGAACCUGAAAGCCGAAACUUGGAUCCCUCUCACCUUCGCACUAACACAAUCGCCUUCGCCCCAUCGCAGUAUGCGUAGGAGACUUAACGGUAACAACAGAAGAAAAAAGGCAACGAGGGAAGAGACUUGCGCUGAGCCGAGAGAGCGACUUGCAAGCGAGGAACCUCUCCCUUCGGGCUGGCAAGGAUAUAACUAGGACACAAAAGUCCGUUGGAACAUCGAGUGGAGGGAUCUUUCGCGCGCACGCGAUUGAAAGGAACAAGUGUUCAGUUGGUUGGUAGGCGCGCAUUCCUUCACUCUAUUUACACAUAAUUAGAGCUAGGAGCGUGUGAAAGCCGAAGGACUUGUUGAGCCCCUCGUGUUUUUUUUAUGACUGUUUUUUUAUAUACGUAGACAGUACUUUCCCGAUUCUGCCUCCAGUUUCAGCAACACUUGUUGUAGGCAACCAUUUCAUUCCGAUUUUAGCUAAGUAUGCUGUUUCACUCAAGAAAAGUAAA